AGUUAGAUCAGAAAGAAAUGUCAGGAAAAGAAGAAUCGGUGAAAAUGGGUAAAAGAGAAGAAGUGGUCCAAAGAACAAACUUUGCACCUCCACAGCUGAAGGUGAUCUUAGGACAAGACCAGAGUGAUUACAGAGGUAUCUGUCAUCUGCCUGCUGAUAUGGCCUUCAGAAGAAAGCCUGUUCUGGAGCCCUUCUCACUGCUGAUACACAAACAUUUGUGACAGUACCCGUGUCUCCUGGAUUUUGUCUGCCCUGCAGCUCUGAUCACCACACUGCAAAGAAACAUGGCAGACUUAAAUCUUGAAGCUUAUAUCACAGAAGACUGCCUUGGUGCAUAAGAACAGUGUUUGCAGGAAAACACCACAGGUACAAUUAGCAGCACUGAAUCUGGAGAGGGGAUGAAUAAGAAGGACAUGACAGAAACGUAGUUCCACCAGCGCACGUCAUGGAGAAGGUUUUCCAUCAUCUUCCUUUACAGUGUUGGUGAAUGCAAACAGUCAGUGACAUGGCAAGAGGUGGACUGGUCACCUGCUCCUUGACAGUAGUUUCUGCAUUGUCAUAUAUGAAGCUACAAAUGAGAAGAAUAGUGGAACAGGUGCAUGGGGGAGUUCUUCAGUAAGGCAGAACUUCCCUGCUCCAUCAUGCUUGUGUAACUUAAUUUCACUCUUGCAAAACACUGUAAUAAUGCAAAAUUGGCCAGGGCUCCUCAAAGUGUGAUUUUAGGAGAGUAGUUCUAUCUGUGCAGGCCUCUUACCUCUUGUAAAUGCUGAUUCAAGGGCUAACUCCUUGGAAACACAGACAUCUUCAUCAGCUAUUCUGCUGCCUGUAUCUGAACAAAGCGAUGGCUUCCUCAGUAAAAAGAUAACAGGAGUUUUGUGAUCAUGAUUUUAGAGAACACAAAAAUCCAAAUGUUAAGUGCCAGAAACAGGUUGAAGCUGGGAUGUAUGCCCCUUUUAAUACUAUGUGCCUAGUUUUAAUAUUUAUUUGUGAGAGUCUAGGUAGGUUAAUGUGUAACAUGAUGUGUGAAAUACAUCUUUUAAAAGGCAGAUGAGAAAAGAUUCUCAAGCAAGACGCCUUGAACAUACUGUGGUGAGUACAGGAUAGAUGAGCAAGAAAUCACAGAGUUGUGAGAGAUCCUGCAUCCCUGUACUUGAGAGAACUUAGCCCUUAACCUGGGUCAAACAAACCCUUCAAGGUAUGUGCAUCCUGAUUCCUGAGCCUAGAGGGGAUGCACAUU